CCUGGCUCAGGAUGAACGCUAGCUACAGGCUUAACACAUGCAAGUCGAGGGGCAGCAUGGUCUUAGCUUGCUAAGGCCGAUGGCGACCGGCGCACGGGUGAGUAACACGUAUCCAACCUGCCGUCUACUCUUGGACAGCCUUCUGAAAGGAAGAUUAAUACAAGAUGGCAUCAUGAGUCCGCAUGUUCACAUGAUUAAAGGUAUUCCGGUAGACGAUGGGGAUGCGUUCCAUUAGAUAGUAGGCGGGGUAACGGCCCACCUAGUCUUCGAUGGAUAGGGGUUCUGAGAGGAAGGUCCCCCACAUUGGAACUGAGACACGGUCCAAACUCCUACGGGAGGCAGCAGUGAGGAAUAUUGGUCAAUGGGCGAGAGCCUGAACCAGCCAAGUAGCGUGAAGGAUGACUGCCCUAUGGGUUGUAAACUUCUUUUAUAAAGGAAUAAAGUCGGGUAUGGAUACCCGUUUGCAUGUACUUUAUGAAUAAGGAUCGGCUAACUCCGUGCCAGCAGCCGCGGUAAUACGGAGGAUCCGAGCGUUAUCCGGAUUUAUUGGGUUUAAAGGGAGCGUAGAUGGAUGUUUAAGUCAGUUGUGAAAGUUUGCGGCUCAACCGUAAAAUUGCAGUUGAUACUGGAUAUCUUGAGUGCAGUUGAGGCAGGCGGAAUUCGUGGUGUAGCGGUGAAAUGCUUAGAUAUCACGAAGAACUCCGAUUGCGAAGGCAGCCUGCUAAGCUGCAACUGACAUUGAGGCUCGAAAGUGUGGGUAUCAAACAGGAUUAGAUACCCUGGUAGUCCACACGGUAAACGAUGAAUACUCGCUGUUUGCGAUAUACUGCAAGCGGCCAAGCGAAAGCGUUAAGUAUUCCACCUGGGGAGUACGCCGGCAACGGUGAAACUCAAAGGAAUUGACGGGGGCCCGCACAAGCGGAGGAACAUGUGGUUUAAUUCGAUGAUACGCGAGGAACCUUACCCGGGCUUAAAUUGCAGAUGAAUUACGGUGAAAGCCGUAAGCCGCAAGGCAUCUGUGAGGGUGCUGCAUGGUUGUCGUCAGCUCGUGCCGUGAGGUGUCGGCUUAAGUGCCAUAACGAGCGCAACCCUUGUUGUCAGUUACUAACAGGUUCCGCUGAGGACUCUGACAAGACUGCCAUCGUAAGAUGUGAGGAAGGUGGGGAUGACGUCAAAUCAGCACGGCCCUUACGUCCGGGGCUACACACGUGUUACAAUGGGGGGUACAGAGGGCCGCUACCACGCGAGUGGAUGCCAAUCCCCAAAACCUCUCUCAGUUCGGACUGGAGUCUGCAACCCGACUCCACGAAGCUGGAUUCGCUAGUAAUCGCGCAUCAGCCACGGCGCGGUGAAUACGUUCCCGGGCCUUGUACACACCGCC
rnacentral:rRNA from 1 species